UUUAAACACCAGUUCCCAUAUAAUCACCAAAGUUAAGCAAUGUCGAGCCUGGUCAGUACUUAGAUGAGUGACUGUUUGGGAAUAUCAGGUGCUGUAAG